UCCGUAGGUGAACCUGCGGAGGGAUCAUUACACAAUAUGAAAGCGGGCUGGCAUCCUUCGGGGUUACAGCCUUGCUGAAUUAUUCACCCGUGUCUUUUGCGUACUUCUUGUUUCCUUGGUGGGUUCGCCCACCAUAGGACAAACCAUAAACCUUUUGUAAUUGCAAUCAGCGUCAGUAAAAAAAUUAAUAAUUACAACUUUUACAACAGAGUCUCUUUGGUUCUGGCAUCGAUGAAGAACGCAGCGAAAUGCGAUAACGUAGUGUGAAUUGCAGAAUUCAGUGAAUCAUCGAAUCUUUGAACGCACAUUGCGCCCUUUGGUAUUCCAAAGGGCAUGCCUGUUCGAGCGUCAUUUGUACCCUCAAGCUUUGCUUGGUGUUGGGCGUCUUGUCUCCAGUUCGCUGGAGACUCGCCUUAAAGUAAUUGGCAGCCGGCCUACUGGUUUCGGAGCGCAGCACAAGUCGCGCUCUUCCUCAGCCAAGGUCAGCGUCCAACAA
rnacentral:rRNA from 1 species